rnacentral:misc_RNA from 1 species
ACAUAGUGGCGCUGCCAUAUCGACCAGAGGGCGUUACAUGACCCCAGAUGAAAAAUUAACUUCAGCUGGAGGAAGCGACAGACCGUUGUACCUCCACAUUCAGGCAUCAGAUCAAAAUGCUGUGAAUUUGGCUGUUAGAAGAAUUCAUGAGUUUAUUGCUAGAAAUACCAAAGGACUUUCUGGUAUUAGCACCAUCACCACAGUCCCAACAACUAUUUAACGGUUUGACUUCAACUGUCAGUAUGUCACAGAUGUCUUCAGGACAUCAUUUUGUUCAAGAGAAAGUGUAUGUUGGAUUAGAGCACGCUUCACUAUCUUCGAUUCGAGAAAAGAUUCUAGGACCGGAAGGAUCCUACCUUCAACACAUAAGAACUGAAACAGGUGCUAGUGUUACCUUAAGGGGCAAGGGUUCAGGAUUCAUGGAACCUACCUCUGGGAGAGAAGCCUUCGAACCUCUUCAUAUUCACAUCACUCAUCCAAAGCCAGAAGGUCUACAAGCUGCUAAAGCUUUAGCUUUAAAUUUAGUCCAGACGGUACACUCUGAACUGAGUCAGUGGACAUCACAUACUGCAGUACCUGUAAGACCAGUGAUCAGCUAUACAACACCUGAAAUAUCAUCACAGUCAUCAGGUGUUUACUUGACAUCUUCUAAUUCAGUGGUUCCAUUGAUUGCCCAAGCAGCAUCCACCAAUAAUAUUGCAGAUGGUUUCCCAGCAUAUGGUGCAUUUUCACAAGUUGUUACCCAUCCAUGGAGUGGAGAGUCUAUGGUGACUUAUGUGACAAAUGCUUCUUCCUGUUUUCCAACACAAGUGAUAACAGGUGGAAUUGGCAGCAUUAUACCGCCAACCCUGAAUACCUUGGCUCCCAGUGGUUCUGCAACAACGAGACUGGUGCCAGACUCCACUGUAAUUCUUCCUCCAACCGGCAUCAUGACUCCCUCAGAAGUCUCGGAGCUCUGUAUGACUGUUCCUUCAUCCAUUACCGUGACCAUGGGAUCGCUUGCCCCUUCCUCAAUUGAAGGAAUUGUUUCUUCUGUUGUUGCCCCCGUUUCUGUUACAAGCUUGGGACCUAUUUUUACAACUCCACUCUACAGACCUAUAACAAUGACAGUGCCUUUUGUAUCUGUACCUCCUCCGCUGAUUUCAGAGCCAUAUCCUUUAGUUCCUCAGUCAUCAAUAUCAGGAGGUGUUACUACCAUACCUCCUCCUCCAAUAUCUAGAACAAUAACCAUACCACAUUCAUCCGUGUCGGAGACAUUAGCCCAUAUGGCUGUUCCUUCAGUUUCAGUACCCGUUCUUCCUGUUCCCCCACCAUCAUUACCUAGAUCAAUUGCUCCUUUGUUAUCUGACGCAACUGCCCAUAUUCCCCCACCCUCAAUUUCGGGGACAAUGGUUUCUGCCCCUCCUCCAUCAAUAUCUGGAGCAGUUGCUCCUGUUCCACCACCACCUAUAUCAAAUAACAUUAUUCCCAUGGCUCCCUCAACAUUAUCUGGAACAGUUUUCCCAAUGGUUCCACACUCUAUACCGGGUACAAUGGACUUAUUGACCUCCUCUUCUCCCUCAGGAACUGUUGAGUUUAAUAACUCUGCAUCUGUGGCUGGCUCUGUGAACUCUAUACCCCACAUGACAAUUCCUGCUGCAUACAGUUCAGCAAUAAUGAGGCAGAUGUCAGUUGCAGGUGCACCUUUAGACACAAUACGUUCCUUUCCCCACCCUCCAGUUAGUUCUUCUGUUACUUUCAUGUCACCCACUUGUCCUCCCCCUCCUACUGGGACUCCUUUCCAAAGCGAAAUAGCUCAAGCAAGACUGUCAUCAUACAUGGAAUCUGGGAGAAGUGUUUACCCACCUAUUAGCAGACCUCGAAAACAUCAAAAACGAAGAUUUACAGAAGCACCUGUUCAAACAAAUGCACUUGAAGAUACAUCUGCUAACUCCGUGUCUUUAAGAUUACAGGAGUUUGUUCCCUCAACUCAGAAAAAUGAAACUGUUUCACCGCAAGAAGCUGUUCAAGAAAAAGAUCGGGAACUGAUGCCACCACCGCCUCCGAUACCAGGGAAAAAAGGCUGUCAAGGUGAAGCGUUUCACUUCCGAUUAGAGGACAAAACUCGUCAAAAGGGAGGACUUGAAGAACCAGAAAGGAAACGUUUGAAGGGUGCUCUGAAGGGUAUUGCCGGUAAGUCACUUUGUUUAUUUGACCUGUGAAACAAAUAGUUAGAAACUUCUAAAACUUGCUGUGAUUAAUAAUAGUGAGGGUUUUUAUUCUUCAUAAACACGACUUUCCUUUUAUAUUUUAUUGACAGUUAGUCGUACAAAGUAAUCUAUAAUAUAGAGAGAAUAUAUUCAAAAAAAAAAUUUUUUUUCUGUGGAUUAUUACAAAAAUUCUUUCAAAUUAUUUUCAUUUCUCACAAAAGCCCGAAGGCUCCUGUUUCAGAUGGGGUAAGAUUUAAAAUAUGAUAGUCAUGACGUGAGGACUAAACACCUCUUUUAUACUUUUGAGUUAUGCUGCUCUACAUUUGUUAAUCUAUUAUUAAUUUAGAAUAAAACAAAUAACUUCACAUCCUUUCUUAUAAUAAUAGGCUGUGAAAAUGAAUUUCCAUGAUCUCAUUCAUCUGACAGGGCAUUAUAACAGUGGCAAUAGUCUCUUUAAUAGUUUAUUGAUGAACAACAGUUUAUGGAUCUGAUGAAUCAGAUGAAGAUAACAGUCCUGCGGGUAGUCCUACUAACUGGCCACCUUCCCCAGA